rnacentral:rRNA from 1 species
UACAGAGGGUGCGAGCGUUAAUCGGAAUUACUGGGCGUAAAGCGCGCGUAGGCGGCUUUGCAAGUCGAGUGUGAAAUCCCCAGGCUUAACCUGGGAACUGCAUUCGAGACUGCAUAGCUAGAGUAUGGGAGAGGGAAGUGGAAUUUCAGGUGUAGCGGUGAAAUGCGUAGAUAUCUAAAGGAACAUCAGUGGCGAAAGCGACUUCCUGGACCAAUACUGACGCUCAUGUGCGAAAGCGUGGGGAGCAAACAGG